rnacentral:lncRNA from 1 species
AAUGUGCAACUUAAUUUGUUGUUUAAUUUAUGAAUUUGUUUUGUAUUGACGGGAGAUUUCUGAGAAGGAGUCUCAUGCUUUUAUGUAGAGCAAACUUAUAUUAUGUGUUUGCAUAUUUCUCAAGUAACCGUCACAAAUCAAUACUCACGGCGUCGACGGCGCGGCCCUCGCGGGUUGCAUCUCCGCCGGAGUAGUCUCAUAUUCCAUUGCCUUGUGGAGCUGCAUCGUCGCCUUUACCAUUUGGGACUGGCCAUGAGACGAACAUUAACUAUCCUUUUUUUAAUUUAUUUUAUUCUUAGAAAAGAAAUUGUAUGACUUGCUCUCCAAUUUGAUAAAUUGUGUUGCUUCUUUUUUGUUAAUUUAUGAAUAGGGAAUUUCAUGGUAUAUGAUUGAUUUUGCAAAUGAUUGUUUAGCAUGAUGGCACCAAGUAGCCUUUUGCAUGUUCUAGUUUAAUUGCAAGGAAAUCACGAGCUAAUAUUUUAUAGGAGCUAUAAUUCGCCAUAUAAAUUAAAAUUCGUGUUUUUGGUCGAUUUGUUUAUUGCCAAUUAUCAUUUUCUUUCCCCAAGAUUGGUUUCCUAUGUAGUAAUGUCUGACUUUUUUAAUUAUUCAAUGAAUAUCGAAGCAAAACUAAGUAAAAAUUAUAUUUUUUGUUGUUGGUGUCGUUGUGUAAGCUUAGUACUUGGUUUGCUUCAAGGGUUCGUUCUCUAGCAUAUUGUUCAAAACUUUUUGGUGGAUUUAUUUUUUGAUGCUGCAUAUUCUCAUUUUGUUUCCGCUAAUGUUUUUUAUUAAAAUAAAUUUUUUUGAAAAAGAAAGGAAUCGAAUGUUUAUAAGCAGAGCAAAGUGAUGAAGUCCUAAUAUCUGAAUAUGAUGUGGAUUUCUUAGUUCAUAUGGUCUUCAAAGUUCUCUGAUUGCUUUGCCGGUUUUAGUCAUUAUCUAUUGUGUUUUUUUUCACUGGGACUUAAUCAGUAAUUACUCAAUUCCCAAUUUGUUCUUCUUAUUUGGAUUCUUCUCACAUACUGAUUUUUAUUGGUUUCAUUGUGCUGGAUAUUCAUGUAGCAAAAGCACAUGUUGAUCCUUAACAAAAAAUUCUUGUUGGUUUAUUGUCUUUUUUUUCUUUGUAGUCCUUAAAAUUUAUAAAUUGUGGUUAAAAUUGUUGUAUACAAGUCAGUACAAUAUUUUAAAGCUCAACGGUUUUAAAAAUAAUUUAAAAUGUUGUAUAAAAUUGAUUAUGGUAGUUUAAAGUUUACCUUAAUAUAUAAACUAUAUAAUCGAUUUUUUGUCGUAAAAAUGGCUAAAAUUGUGAACAUUAUAUUGUUUUAUUCACAGUUUGUACGUUUGUUAACACGAAUAUUUUAUCUGUCUCAAAUACUAAAUGGUAAUGUUAAAAUUGGAGCACCAAAAUAUGAUUUAUAUUUUUGUUACUAAGCAUUUAAUCCUUCAUGUUCACAAUUUCUGUUGAGUUGACCAUGAUCCACGUUUAAAUGACAUCUAUCGCCAUUGGUUUAUGUCUGUUUCCAAUUAGUUUUAUGUAUUUUUUGUGUGGUCAAUGAUGAUAAAAUAUAAUCCCAGCUCUAUGAGACCUUCACCAUUGCAAGGUCUAGGAGUAGAUUUGUUCAUAUUUGUCUGAGCCACUUUCUUCAAUACGGACGUCAAGUACAUUUAAAAAAUCAGCUCUAUUCGUUGUGGUAUUCGAAAAAGGAGGUUUAAGAUCUUCAAAUAAAUUGUGAUUAGAACAAAAAAUGCGAGGCUUAAGAUUUAGCAUUAGAACCAAAAAAAUGUGAUAGGUUUUAAAUCUGGUAUUGUGGAACAUAUAAAAAGUUAUUUAACAUAGAAUGAGUUUAACAUUGUUCUUAGUGGUAAUGUUGAAAUUUAUACUCCUUGAAUGGUUUCGUAUAAUCAGCAUUUGUUUUAAUAACCUUUUGUUUUGGUACAUAUUUCUGCUUCGGAGGAGGACUUGAAAAGUGUAAUUGAAUGUUUAAUCCUUUACAAUGGUGUACAAGCAGAGUGGUAAAAGCAAGCAAACCUUGAUUGUCUUCAAAAGCCCCGAAGUUACUGCGUUAUCGGACUACAUACUAGUGUUGAAUGAAAACCAACUUUGGAGUUAAGUCUUCAAUUUGAGACCUAACAUACAGUUUGUGGUAGUUAAAAGAAAUAUGUUUUUAUAAAGUGUUAGUUUAACUAGUGCUAUGUUAAUUUGAGUGUAAUUUGUUCAAAUUUUUAUCUUUCUAAUUACUCUUCUUUUUUAUUAUUCCUUAAUUCAUUGUCAUGUGAGCAUCGUCAAUUGAGUUCUUUUUGCAUAUUUUACUUGAAUGUAUAAUUUUACUUGAAUGUGAGCAUCGUCAAUUGAGUAAUGUUGCUCGGUGGAGGAUUGUUCAGUCUAUUAAAAACAACUUGGUUGAAAUUUCUCUACUGCAUUCCAAACUACAAAAGCCCAAAAUCUCUCCAUCGAUAUGACAGAAGAAGCCAAACUAACAAAGCCCAUUAUGUUGUACGGUCGGAAGACAAUUAUUUAAAGCAAAAAAUUUAGAAAAAGAAAUUAUGCAAAGCCAUGUAAUUAUUAUUUUAUUUUGUUUUGUAUAAUUGAAAUUUAAAAUGCAGUGAAGACUAAUUUUAUUUAAUGUAUUCAAUUAUUACUAAAUAAAAUUUUAUGGUACUAUUUCAAUGACAGCCGGAGUUUUGUUUGAGGUUGACGCUCAUUUUAAUUAGAUGUUAAAUUUGAAUUUUUAUAAUUGCACCUAAUAUGCAAGCCAAGCCCAAUAAUGUUUUGUAAUUAGUUGGAAUUUAUUUGGUAAGGCAGUAGAGUAUAUAUUUCGUUGGAAUUUAUUUAAAAAAACUGGAAAGGCACGAAGUUUGUGUUAGUAUUUUUGAACUGUGAUUUAAUUGUAGAUUAUUAAAAAAAUAUUCUUUUUUUUUUCAGAAACAAAUUUAAGGCAUUUCCUUCAUUUUAAGUAAGUUAUUCGAUUGGGCUGGACCCAAUAACGUUUUAUCAUAAUUUAAGAUUUUAUUUUAAUUAAUUAGAAAUUGUGUUUGUUAGACUGUGUUUCUUAUAAAUAAAUAGGCGCUGCGAGUGAUUGUAUCGUGUGCCUCUUCCAUCAACACUGGGUUUCGGUUAUUCGAUUAUGUCAGGUUCUUUCUCUCUUACUUUCUUCAGAAAUUUUAUUUUCUUCUUCUUCUUCAUGUGAAACUUAAAUAAUAUUUUGUUUCUUCUGGCAUUUUUCUUUUGGUAUAUCGAUCAUUUGAUGAGAAAAAAACUGCAACUAUAUGAAGCAGCGAUUAGAGAUGAGGAUGUUUACAUUUGAUGAGAAAAAAACUUAGUUUGGUUUUCCUUGAAUUUUUAUUGCCGUAUACGUCUUUGUUCUUUUUUCCUUGAAUCUUUAUUUUUACUUCUUGUAUAGUUAUAUUUCUUUAUCUCAAAUUAUGAAAUUUUUAUUUUUAUUAUUUCUUUGAAAUUCUUGAUUCUUUAGUCGAAUUUAAGGUGGCUUUGUCUCAGUGACAUUCUUCCUUUGUUGCAGUAUGUGUUGCUAUGUAUGUUUUAAGAAAUAUUGUUUCUUUAGGUAUUUUCCAAUAGAAAUUGAAAUCUUGCGCUAAUCCUUUUGUGUUUUGAUUUUGGUUUUUUGGGUUCUGCAGGGACCAUUUCCGAGCUUUUCAGAUGAAUAUGAAUGAAAAUUCUGGUACUUAGCAGAAUUUCUAAUUUAUUUAUAAUUCUUUUAUUUGGAAGAACUUAUAAUUUAUUUAUUUAUAAUUUAUUAAUGGGUAUGGUAGAUAUGCUUGUGGUCCUGGAAAAUUUGAAAAAUAUUAAUUUUUUUCUCAUAAAUUUUAUUGUAUUAAUUUAGUCCUUUAACAAUAAAGCAUGUUUUGGUUGAUUCUUACAAGUAACUAUAUUAUAUUAUAAUCUGACGUGAUUAAAUGAUUUACACGUAUAAUUUGAUUACAAAUGAAUUAAACAAUUUGAUUAAAAAUCUUAAAAUUAUAAUUUUUCAUCUUCUUUUGGGGAUUUUGUGGCACAUUUUAAAGAAAUUAAGGGAAAGAUAAGUUUGAUUCAUCUUUAAUAAAAUUUUAUACGUGCAAAUUGUUUAAUUCAUUUUUAUUAAAUUAUAUAUGUAAAUAUGAUAGUCACAUUGGAUUAUUAUGUAAUGGAGUUGUUAUUAAGACUAGCAAAAAAUAUGUUUUAUUUUUAUAAGGAAUAAAUUAAUAUGAAAAUUUUUAUGAGAAGAAAAUUAAUAUUUGCUUUAAUUGCAAAAUUCGUUCCCAUAUUUUGUCAUGGUUCUUGAAGUAAGAUGCAUACUUUUUUAUCACGAUACCCAAGUGUUCAUUUGAAUAUUUAAUGCAAAAUAUAGUAUUAAUAUAAGUUUUAUGCGAAAAUAGUUCAAAAUUCAAAUUUUAUUAUUUUAAUUUAUUAUAUUUUUAUAAUGUUAUAUAUUAUCUUUUAAAAUAUAAUAUAUAAAAUUAUAUUCUUUUUUCACAUAAAAAUAAGUAUACAUAUUCUAAUUUAUAUGAAAAUAAAAUUUAAUUUUAUAUACUAUAUUUUAAAAGAUAAUAUAUAACAUUAUAAAAAUAUGAUAAAUUAAAAAAAUUGAAUUUUUAAGUAUUUUCGCAUAAAAUUUAUAUUAAUACUAUAUUUGACACUAAAUAUUCAAAUGAUCACUUGAGUAUGAUGAUAAAAAAAGUGUAUUUUUUUUUACUUCAAGGACCAUGCUUCUAGUAAAUAGUGUAGUUUUGAAAGAUAAAAGGACAGAUUUUACAAUUAAAUCUUAAUAUUUUUCAAAUUUUAUAGGUAUCUCAAACAUAUUUUAUCCUUUAUUAAUUUAUGAUAAUUCUCUUAAAUAGAAUAAUUUUUAUUGAUGAUUCUGUUAAGCAGAAUUUAUGAUUUUAUUUAUGGAUAAUUUUACUAAUUCAGCGUAAUUUAUGAUUUAUAUUUAUAUUAUUGUAAAAAAUAAAAAAUUUUUAACUCCGCCUAUGGUCUCAUAGCCGGUCCCAAGCCCGGACAAAGGAGGAGGGUUUUUAUAUUACUCAUACAUCAUUGUAAUUUUUUAUGACCAAUCAAUUGUAAGUUUUUAUGAUUAACCAUCAUAAAUCAAUCCAGAGCAAUUUCAUAUUUCAUUGCUUUGUGGAGUGGCGUCGCCACCUUUAGCAUUUUGGACUGGCCAUGAGACUAACAUUCAAUCCACGCAUCUUGUUAAAUUGUUUUUUUUUUUUCUAAAAAAAAUUGAAUAGGAAGUGUAAAAGAACCAUUUCCUUCCUAUAUAAUUAAUGAAAAUGAGUUUAGAUUUCUAAAAUGCUCUGCUUUACAUUAAUAGGAGAAAGAAAAUGAGUAUUCUCUUGCAUAUUUUUACUAACACAUCAUGUGUUAGUAUUUUUAAAAUUUAUUAAAAAUUAUAAAAUUAUUGGUAAAUCUCAUCAAAUAAAUUUUAUUACAUAGGAAGGAGUUUUUUUUAUAGGCAAUCAAUAGAAAAAAGUGUGUCUAAGAAUAUAUUGCUUCUCAAAAUUUGUGUUAUUUUUAUUAGAUUCUAACUUUCCUUAGGGACAGCCAGGUAUCACCCCAUUAAUUUUUUUAACUAUAUAUGCAAACUCCAGUGUGUUUUUCUUUAUAAAAAAAAUGUAAUUUUGUAACCUACAAAUCCAAUUAUCAAUUAUGCAUGUUAAAAUUUGGUAAAUUUCAUUAAAUAAUAAAUAAGUGUAAAUGAGUUGUGCAAAUUGUUAUGUUAAAUGUAAUUGUUCUAUUCUAUUUUGCAUUAGGGGGGAGCUGGAUAUGCUAGGAAGAUCACAUUUGAACAUUUGAAAAGAUUACUUGUGAAAAGAACAUUCACAUGCUCUACAUUGUCAAACAAUACUAACUACUAAGUAAAGCUAGGCUCAUAUGACCUCUGCAUCAUUAAGCAGAGGUGAAAUAUGUGCUAAAUAAAAUCUAUUAGGAAAAUAGGAAAAAAAGAAGAAGUGAGGAUUGAAUGGCAUACUCAUGACUCCACUGAAAACACUGCGCACUGCACAAUUGUUCCAAGGGAUAUGCUAGGUGCACCCAGCAAUAUUGCUGGUGCACCCAGCAAUUUAAUGAAAGGUCAAUUUUGCCCUUCAUUUAAAAAAAUAAAAAGUAUUUUUUUUCCUCUUUCGGAAGCAUUCUCUCUUUUUCACUGUGUCUCUUCCGCAAAAGCUUAUUCUCUUCUCUCUUCCCCGACAAGCUUCUUCUCCGUGAGCUUCUCCGACAGCCCUUGGACCCAUUUGCUUUCGAGGUAGGUGGCCUUCUUCUUAGCUUUGGUUUUGUUAUGCACUACAUUAGGGUAGGUUAGUGUAACGUUAGGUUAGUGGAACCUUAGGGUAGAAGACGGAACCUUAGGGUAGAAGACGAAACCUAGGGUAGAAGACGAGAGGGGAGAAGAUGAGAGGACGCCGGAAAAAAUGGCGCAAAAGGCUGACGACGGCGUCUUCCGGAAGACCCGUUAGGGGUUCUUCCGGAAGUUCCGGAAGAACCUUUUCCGGAAAGUUUCCGGAAGAAGUGUUCUUCCGGAAGUAACCAAACGUCUUCCGGAAGAACACUUCUUCCGGAAGACUUCCGGAAAACCUCUUCCGGGAACUUUCCGGAAGAAGUGGUUCAUCCGGAAGAAUUCCGGAAUACGCGCACUUCCGGAAGAACUUUCAAAGUUCCGGAAGACCUUUCCGGAAGAACCCCUUCUUCCAGAAUGUUUCCGGAAGAACCACUUCUUCCGGAAGUGGUUUUUUUGUUUUUUUUUGUGUUUUUUUUAAAAUUUUUUUUAAACAGAAAUUGUUUUGUUUUUUUUUAAAUGAAUUAUUUUAUUUAUUUUGGUUAUUUUGUUUUUUAGAUUUUAUGAAAAAUGAAGUUUGGGUUUUUGAUGUCAUAUUUUUUUUAUAAUUUAAAUUGUGUAUUUUUACUAAAUAUUAAUUUGUAAAUUAAUUUUUUUUAUAAAAGUAGUUGUGUUUGUUUUUGUUUAUUGUUUUUUUUAAAUUAGUGUUUUUUCUUUAAAAAUGAAGUUCUCUAUUUUUAUAAUUAAAGUUGUGUGUUUUGGAAGUUUUAUAAAAAUACUAAUUUUUUAUAAUUAAUUAGUUUAUUUUAUUAUAAAUGAAGUAUUUUAUUUACUAAAAAAAUUGUGGAUGUUUACUAAAUAAUUUUUUUUUACAUUAGUUGUUUAAUUUUUUUUAAAAAUUAAGUUGUGGAUGUUUAGUAAUGAAUUAUUUUUAUAUUAGUUGUGUUUUGUUUUUAUAAAUGAAGCUGUUUAUUUUUUUUUUUAAAAAAUUAACUUGUUGAUGUUUACUAAGUAAUUUAGUUGUGUUUUUUUUUAGAAAUGAAGUUUCUUAUUUUUUUUUAAAUUAAGAGUUGGAUGUUUACUAAUUAAUUUUUUUUACAUUAGUUGUGUUUUUUUUUAUAAAUGAAGUUGUUUAAUUUUUUUUAAAAAUUAAGUGUGGAUGUUUAGUAAUGAAUUAUUUUUAUAUUAGUUGUGUUUUUUUUUAUAAAUGAAGUUGUUUAAUUUUUUUUAAAAAAAUUAAGUUGUGCAUGUUUAUUAAUAAUUUUAUUUUACAUUAGUUGUUUUUUUUUUAUAUAAAUGAAGUUGUUUAAUUUUUUUUUUAAAAUUAGGUCGUGUAUGUGUGAAAAUAAUUUGAUUUAAGUUAGUCUUAUUUGUUUAUAAAUAAAGUUGAUUUUUUAUAAAGAAAAUUGUGUAUAUUUUGACCGAAAAAAAUACGUGUUCGACAUGAUUUACAGAUCAUGGCCAGAACACGAGGUUUAGGUCGUGCCAUAGGUAGAGUUGUAGGCAGAGAUAGAGCUGCUGACGAGGAUGCUGGUGAUGUUCCCGAGAGGCGUAGGCCUACUGCCUCAGCCCGUUGCCGUACACGGAGCAUCUGGGUGUUAGGGCGUUUCAGGAGAUUUCAUCGUUCCAGGGUCAGCUCAGAUGGGGUCCUAUGAUCGUCGCAGUUCGACCGGAGAGGGUGGUACGCCAGUUCGGUUACAUCCAGAGCAUCCCUCCGCCGCCUGUUAGUGCACGAUUGUCACAGGAUCAGAUAGAUGACAGGUGGAUGGAGUUUGCGGAUCACUUACUACCUGCGGGUCAGCCUUGUUUAGUGCCUGGGCAGGUAUCUGCGGAUUACAUUAAGUGGUUUUUCCGCAUAUCUCACCCUUUCAUGACACCGACCCAGGCAGCUGACCAGCAGAGGGAUGCACCAGCUGCAGACCCUGAGGACUACAUACAGCCGCCCAGCCCCCAGGUUCCAGUGGCAUUUGACCCCCCUCCAUAUGUGGUAAGAUUAUUUGCGCGUUUAAUGUUUUAUGAGUUGUUGUUUAUUUUGAAUUUCAUAAUAAAUGUUUUUACUGACUUUGACAGGAUGAUUAUGAGGGAUAUGAGGCGAUUGCACAGAGGUUGGAGCGUGUGCUCAACCUUAGGAUAGUCACUGCAUGCACAGAGUUAUAUGACAUUAUGCAGGACUGCCUGACGAUUGCGAGAGGGGGACCCAGUGCUGAUGGGACGGUCACGGCUCGUCAUAGACGCCGCACGGACCAUUGAUCAUUGUAUUUAUUUUGUUGUGUUGUAGUUGACAUGAAUAUUUGUAAUUAUUACAGUUUUUGUUUAAUAUAGUUGACGUGUUUUGCACAGUUUAUUAUUUUAUAAUAUAGUUUGUUAUUCCGAUUGUUUGUGGUCCUUAAGCGAAGUUUACGGUUGUUUUAAAUUUAUUUUUAAAAAAAAGGAACCUAGAAUCAUGAGUUUUGUUUGUCAGAAUUACAUAAAAAAUAAAAGUUUUUAAAAUGAUUAAUAAUUCAUAAGUGAACCUUUUUUCCAUGUUCAAGUACCCGUGUUUGGGAUUUUUUUGCGUGGGUGUGGCAGUGCCCUGAGACAAUGGAGGACGGCCAUUUCUCAUGUUUGGACGUCAAAGAAUCCAAAAAAAAUAGUCCCGUUCCAUGGUUCCGUCAACUAACACGUCAAAACAAAGCCUCAAGAUCCAAAAAAAUACGAAAUGAACCCUUUUUCCAUGUUCAAGUACCCGUGUUUGGGAUUUUUUUGCGUGGGUGUGGCAGUGCUCUGAGACAACGGAGGGCGGCCAUUUCUCAUGUUUGGACGUCAAAGAAUCCAAAAAAAAUAGUCCCGUUCCAUGGUUCCGUCAACUAACACGUCAAAACAAAGCCUCAAGAUCCAAAAAAAUACAAAAUGAACCCUUUUUCCAUGUUCAAGUACCCAUGUUUGGGAUUUUUUUGCGUGGGUGUGGCAGUGCCCUGAGACAACGGAGGGCGGCCAUUUCUCAUGUUUGGACGUCAAAGAAUCCAAAAAAAAUAGUCCCGUUCCAUGGUUCCGUCAACUAACACGUCAAAACAAAGCCUCAAGAUCCAAAAAAAUACAAAAUGAACCCUUUUUCCAUGUUCAAGUACCCAUGUUUGGGAUUUUUUUGCGUGGGUGUGGCAGUGCCAUGAGACAACGGAGGGCGGCCAUUUCUCAUGUUUGGACGUCAAAGAAUCCAAAAAAAAUAGUCCCGUUCCAUGGUUCCGUCAACUAACACGUCAAAACAAAGCCUCAAGAUCCAAAAAAAUACAAAAUGAACCCUUUUAACAAUUAAUUUUUUGGACCACUGAAACAACGCAUUCAACUUUAUUAUGGGAAUUAAACACGCCGUAAACAUAUAAAGGUUACAUCAACGAAAAAACAAAAAAUUAAACAUGACAUUCAGUUCUUUAGCGACGUCCCACUGACCUCGUCUUCAACAUAUUUAGUAAAGACAGCUAAAAUUUCUAUUGGUCCAUAUUUUUUCCAGUAGUUAGAUUGUACUAACACCUUCAGCAGUUCUUCGUUGGUGAUCAGCUCAUUUAUUUCAUAUUUUAUAACCGUAUCUGAAUACUCAAACCGAGCUGGUUGGCGGAAAAACAAUCGUCUUACCGUUUGUGAUUCGUGAAUUCCAAGAGGGGGAAUCCCUUUAGGUGCAACUUGCUUGAUUAAAUUCUUCAGUUCAUCGAUGGUACAUGUUGAAGGAAUUUGAAAUUUCUUAGGAUUUUUUCCUGUGAACGCGCAACCAACAAAUUUGUUCUGCGGUGGCAUGUUCCAUUUGCCGUUGUACUACAGGAUCGCGUCAUGAAUACGAGGCAUAGUGCGUUCAAGUAAGUUUAUUAUUCCAUCUGGUGUUCUUCCAACGGUGCAUAAUAACUCAAUCGGACCAACACAAGAAAAUUGAUCAUUACACAUUAACAUUGUGUUGACAUCGUCAUUAUUUAUCAAUUGGAUACACUCAAAGCGAAUUUGGUUACCUGUAUCGGUGAAUGGCUUCCGGUAGUGAAUUUCAUCCAAAAAUUGUUUGUCGGAUAGCUGAAGGGUAUUGUGUAUUCUGGUUUUUAGGCUUGCAAAAUCACACCUAUUUGGUACUCGAAUGGGCACCGGAGUUGAAGUUUGGAAGUAAACCCCAGUAUCAUUGUGAAUAAUCGAUCCAUUUGGAUAAAUGAAAGCCAACCUUGAGUUGACAAUCGUCUGACUGCUAGUUUCUCCUAGAAAUGCCAUAGUUUGUGUAUCAGUUGGGAGUUUAUUUGAAAGCAAGAUAAUGUGUGAUUUAGUAGCCUAGUCUGCCAUAUAUAUAGAUGGUUGUGACCGAGCCUUUGUUUAACUUUGUUUACAAAAAAAUAGACACGCGUAAAUGUGUAGUCAAGUCAGUCAAUGUGUUGUCGCUAAUGUGUAGUCAAGUCAACCAAUGUGUUGUCGAGCGACUGCUAGUUUCAAAAUGUGUACUGAAGUCAACCAAUGUGUUGUCAAUUAUGACAAUGAUGUAUGCUGCACGCGUAAAUGAUUUUUGUUGGACCAACAAUUUCCUUGCUUAACCAAACGAGUAGUUGAUAAUAUUAAUUGGUUAGUGACGGGUUACAACGAAUUAUAUCGCAUAAUGAAUACAAAUAAAUAAACAAUGAAUGUUUAGUCUUCAUUUAGGUCUACAUAGUGUGUUUUGAAUGACAUCAAGCUUGUGUAUUCCUGCAUUCUACUAAUAUAUGGAAUUGCCCAUUGCUUUGCUUGAGAAUAACAAUUGGUUGACCACAACAGCGCUGGGGGCGGCAACGGACAAUGGUCUUUCAAAUAAACCUGUUGUACAUGAACAAACAUUAUAUCAUGCGCUGACCGUGCCAAACGAACCAGCGAAGUCAUUGCAUAAUUGUUACACUAACUAUGUUCAAUGUACCUGAACAAAAUGAUUUCCAAACACGUGACCGACACAUAUGAUGCGGUGGCCAAAAGAGUCAGGUGGUGGUUGACUUCUAAGAGGGAAAAAUGUCAUGCUUUGUUGUUGGGACAACGAUACAAGGAUUACGUUAUACCGUGAAGCAAUCACAUAUCCCAUGUCUGUUAUAUCCAUCCACUUGUCCACACUAACCUGAAUGAACCAAACAUACACAUGUAAGUAAUUUAAACAUUGUUAUUAAAAAAAAUUAACCUAAAAACAUACCUUUGAAAAUCCAUCAACAAGUAGGGACAACUUUAAUUGUUCAAAUCUCUCUGUGCCACCGAAGAGGUUCAUGUACUCAUGCGACCACCUGCCAAGUUCUUUAAGCAAUUCAUUACGCACUAACGGCCACGAAUCUUCCCCCAUACCUAAUAAAGCGCCAAUGGACCGAUAUCCACAGUUAUCGUCCGCUUUCACAUCCACAACGUCACGAAUGAAACCUUGAAAGAAUGACGCAAAUUGAUCCAACAUCGGGAUGAUCCUUGUUGGCUGACGCGGUUGAGAACAUGAUGCACUUCGUUUCACUGGAGAGUUGCUCCUUUGAACAGAAUGAAAAGCAUCAACAUACUCCCAGUAAGACGGAUCACGCUUUGUGGAUGUUUGACUUCUUUUCAUCGGUUUCUUCGGUGCACCUUUAGUGUUCACCUUUGAUGGAGGAGGGCACAUAGAGUUAUGAUCAGGGUAUGCGAUUUCUCGAAGUUUACUCUUCAGAUUUACUUUGCCAGCCACAUCAAGUUCAUCAAACCUUUUAGAUAUGACCUCUAUUUAUUCCUUGAUGGUGACUUCCGUCUCACAUAACCCUUGGUCUGAAAAGCAAAGUCUCCUCCAAAAAAGAUGGACUGACUCCAAUGGGAUGCUGGUAGCAGUAUACCUAGAAAGCUUACAUGCACAAGGAAGCCCGUGCGUGCUUCUCAUCACACAACCACAAGAAGAGAGAUUGUUUCCGAGAUAACGUAGACGGUCAAUCUCAGAAGCAAUCCGAUUUAAAGCAUCCCUCGAAACCAUCCCAAGAAGCCUCUUGUAUAAGGUUUUUUUAUAUACAUGGCCAACCACAUGCGUACUGGUUUCAAAGGAUGCUUUAAUUUCGACGUGUUGCAGCGUGAUCAUGUUGUUCAUGGCAUCCCAAACACUACAUAGGUCUCCAACGCUAUUUUGUAGUACUCUUUUGAGAGCCCAAUGAGCUGAUUCAACCCUACAUUUAAAAUACACAACAAACAUGAAAAUAUACAACAAUUAAAUACCAUUUAAUAUUAAUCGUUACUAACAAAUAAAAUCAGUUGUUAAUACCUGUUUGUUGUUGUGUUGCCUAGGUGCAUGACCUUAUUCGUCCAUGCUGUAAUAAAUUUUUCCUUGUGGGGGAUAAUCCAUGUGUCGUUAACAUAGUCAACGAACAUCGGCCAUGGCGAACAAGCAACUUGAAACUUCUGAUAUGACUCAUGGAACUCGUAUUCGGACGGACAAUCAACCAAAGUACCCCAGUUAUCCAUUACAUAGUCCCACGCAUUUUUUUCCCCGAUUAAAGAUUUGCACUUCGCCUUCACAUUCUUAUCGAUAUGAAACCUGCACAACAAAUUAGUAGACUCGGGAAACACAGUUUUCACUGCAUUCAUCAGUGCUAGGUCUCUGUCAGUGACAAUAACAAGAGGGAGGCGAUCGUGUCUUAAAAAUAGGCCUCGAAAUCGUUCCAAAGCCCAUAUAAUAUUAUUAACACGCUCAGCCUCCAGAUAUGCAAACCCAGCAGAGAAUGUCAUCGCCGUUGGUGUCACUCCAACAAAGUCAAGUAGUGGGAGUCUGUACCUGUUUGUUUUGUAGGUACUGUCUAUAAAAAAUACCAGAUGACAUGCAUUGCAUAACUUUACUGCAUCUGGGUGACACCAAAACAGAUCACGCACCACAACUUCAUCCUUCAAUCUAUGCCAAUGAAUGUAUUGAUCACGUUCGAGAAGCUUCAUCAGAUGCUGCAUUUCGGUAUCAGCUCCUCUUAUUGAAGAACGAUAUGCACUUCUUGCAUUGUAAAUUUGCUUUAUCGUGGUGUAACUGUCGGCAUUGUGUUCCUUCAACGUUAGCAAGAUAUUUUUCGGUUUCACCAUCGACUUUGUCAUAUCAGCAAUAAUUUUCUUUUCUUCCUUAGUCUAUCGCCCGACGUUUGGAUGUCCAACUAAGGACUUCGCCAAUUCAUGAUUAUGAAUCCCACAGAUCAACUUCACCAUCCAACCUUCCCCUCCACGCACUGGUUUCCCACGAAGCCUGAAGGGACAACCACAUUUCCUACUCCCGGUGUCUUUUCUAACGAAUUCUUUAUUUCUACACUUGUACGUACCACUCCUUUCACACCCAAUUAACACAAAUGAACUUCUUCCUCUGCUACCGGUCUCUGUGUCAGAUCUCAUAAUCACUGCAACAAAUCCAUUUUCAUGGGCAACUGUUCGAGCCCAUUGCAAAACAUCAUCUCGAGUAGCGAAUACCUACAACGCAACCCUAACACAUUAAUUUUCAUACAAACCAUCAAUUCAACCAAUGACUCAAAUUAUCUAUGAUUACCUGAGAUGUAUUAAAAGCAUUUGAACAAUCGACAUGUGGUUCAUUCACUCCACAUUCUUCUUGAUUAUCAUAAUCAUAAUCCAUAUGAACUUCUUGUGACAUCGCAAAGUCAUACCUCCAUUGAUCUUCGUCCAUCUUAAGGACAUAUGCAUCAUACACAAGUACAUUCAAAUUAUCAUAUAACCACAUCCAAAAAUUUACUACACCUUAAAUAACAAACAUAUUAAUAGGACAUAUGCAUCAUACACGACUAUAUUAAAAUUAUCACUAUAUUCUAAAUUUAUAACUACAUUAUUUACUUAAACUAAACUUAUCACUAUAAUAAACAACUAAUAAAACAUUUUUGUACCAUUAUACAUUUAAGUUACCUAAAUCAUUUAAUAUUAUACCAUUAUACCUAAUUAAAUCAAUAAUCCACAACAUAUAUAAAACAGAAAUAAAAAAAAAUUAUAAAACAGAAAUAUAUAUAUAUAUAUACCAUUAUAAAACAAAAAAAUUAUAAUCCACAAUAUAUAUCAUUAUACCUAAUUAAACCAAUAAUUCAUUAUUAACUAACAGAAAUAUAUAUAUAUAUAUAUAUAUAUAUAUAUAUAUAUAUAUAUAUAUAUAUAUAUAUAUAUAUAUAUAUAUAUUUAACAUUCCGGAAGACCUUCAUCCGGAAGUGGUCAUUCCGGACCUUCCUCCUUCUGUGCCUAAAAUUUCUUCCGGAUACACUUUUUACUGUUUUUCUUCUCUAAAAACUAACCGGAAAACGAAAUAAACGCGUACCUCCGACAAAAUAGGAACAACAGCCACUAAUAAAACUUCAAAUACGGAACACGGGACCACCAAAUCUUCAAAUACUUCACUUCACGGGACCACCAACAGACUGCUGAAGGGACCACCACCGAAACAACAGCAAACAGAAGAAACAAACAAAGCAAACGGAAGAAGAAACAAAGCAAACGGAAGAAGAAACAAAGAAAGCGCAGUAAAACACAGCCUGAAGACGUUAAUUUAAAGAAAUUUACACAAGGGCAAAAUCGUCAUUACAUACGCAUUAAAUAUUAUUUUAUUUUUACUUAUUAUUAUAAAAUAAAAAUUCUGUUUUCUUCAUUUUGUUAUAAAACAAUAAUCACGUUUAGGAAUUAAUUAAUUUUUAUGGUUUAAAUUAAUAUUUGACAUGCGCGUAAAAAACAAAUUAUAAAUAUUAGUCAUAAUUACGUUCACUAAUUAUUUAAUUAUUUAUGCAUAAUAAUAUUAAUUAUUUUAUUAUUUAAUUAUUUAUGCAGUAUUAAUUAUUUUAUAAAUUAGUUUAUGCAAUUAAAAGUAAAUUAUUACAAAAUAAAAAUGUGCUAAAAAAAAAACUAACUUCCGGAAGAAGCUUCUUCCGGAAGACAAUGGAAUUCUUCCGGAAGAAGCUUCUUCCGGAAACAUUCCGGAUGACGUUCUUCCGGAAGUUGUCUGUGAGUACUUCCGGAAGACACAAAUUAUUCUUCCGGAAGAAGAUUCUUCCGGAAACUUUCCGGAAAAAUUAUUUCCGGAACUUUUCCGGAAGAACCUUCUUCCGGAAGAAUAAUUGCUGAAGGGCAGUUUCGCCACUUCACUGUUUGCUGGGUGCCCCAGCAAUAAUGCUGGGUGCACGUAGCAACUCCCUUGUUCCAAAUGUCUUGACCACGGAUUUCCUCUACUGAGGGCAGUCUUAUGGGCUCAAUCUGAGGGUUCUCUAGUGAAUUUUUCUUGUUGCUAAAUUACGUAUAUUAUCCUUCUUAUGUUUUAGUUUUGAUUUAGUUUAAAUCCAGGAUAUGCUAGAGCUGUGUAAUGAAGAAAGAAUAGUUAUUAUAAAGCACAAAUACUCAAAAUAUCUAUCAAUUCAUAUACAACAGAGUCAGUUCUCAAGUAUUAAAAUGAAAAUCAAGGAAUCCAAUUGAGAUAACAAGAUUCAUAACAUUAUAAUGAAUCAUAUGAGAGGUAAGGCAAAGCAGAAGGAGAUAGAGAAUGUGGUUGGCACAAGUAGCACAUGGAAACAGGUAAAAAGCAACUUUCUUCAAAAGCACUAAUAACAGAUGAUAAAGUAAGCUAAACCUGAAUGUACUUUCUUAAUUGUCAUGAACCAACUAUUUAAAAUCCUUAAGCUAUUAGGUGAAUGUACUUGAAUGGCCUUCUAUGUGACCUUUCUAACACAUUACCUCAUACAAGAGCCCUUUAGGUUUUGAAGCAUGGACAAGCAUGGGUGCACCUACCUUGUGUUAAAAUUUAACUUUUUAUUGGAAGAACCAGGGUGGAUGGAUCAAAUUCUAAAUCACUUCAUAGGGCCUCUGAUACUAUGUUAUGAAGAACUCUUCAAAACCUAUUAGGUCAAGUCACAUGAAUGGUCUUUUAAAUUGAAUUUCUAUUCUAACAUUAACCUGCAGAUCAUCAUUGUACUUGGUGGUAACAACGACCUUUUUGGCAACAAACUAUCCAAUCAUACUAACAUUAGCACCGGCAGCCAAGGCUUCCAUGAAUUCCUUGGUACCAGACCUAGCAAUUGUACCCAAGUUGUUCACCAAAUCUGAAAAAAAAAACAUCACAAAAAUCAAUUAGAGACUAACCAAGUAAACAAAAAAAUUGGUCCACAAAUAUCUCAAUAGAUACAGCCACAUAAUUAAUUAAUUUGUCAGAACAAAUCAACUCAAGAAGAAAAACAAUAUUAACACAAACACACAUCAUAGUAAAAAAAUAGGAGGUUUAAGAUCUUAAAAUAAAUUGUCAUUAGAACAAAAAAUGUGAGAUUUAAGAUUUAGCAUUAGAACCAAAAAAUGUGAUAGGUUUUAAAUCUGGUAUUGUGGAACAUAUAAAAAGUUAUUUAACAUGUUAAAAUGAGUUUAACAUUGUUCUUAGUGGUAAAUUGUUGUAAUAGUGUUUGUGGUUUCCUAUUGAAAUUUAAGCUACUUUUAUUAUGGUUUCGUAUUGUCGCAUUUGUUUUAAUACAUAUUUGUCCUUCGGAGGAGGACUUGAAAAGUCAUUGAAUGUUUAAUCCUUUAUGAUGGUGUACAAGUAGUGGGGUAAAAGCAAACAAACCAUGAUUAUCUUCAAAAGCCAGGAAGCUGCGUUAUCGGACUACAUACUAGCAUCGAAUGAACACCAACUUUGGAGUGAAGUCUUCAAUUUGAGACCUAACAUACAGUUUGUGGGAGUUAAAAGAAAUAUGAUUUUAGAAACUAGGUGUUAGUGUAACUAGGGCUAAGUUAAUUUGAGUGUAAUUUGUUCAAAGUUUUAUCUUUCUAAUUACUCUUCUUUUUUAUUAUUCCUUAAUUCAUUGUCAUGUGAGCAUCGUCAAUUGAGUUCCUUUUGCAAAUUUUACUUGAAUGUGCAAUUUUCACUCCUUAAAUCAUGCAGUUUGUGUUAGUAUUUUUGAACUGUCAUUUAAUUGUAGAUUAUUAAAAAAAUGUUUUUUUUUUCAGAAACAAAUUUAAGCCAUUUCCUUCAUUUUAAGUAAGGGGUGUUGCUAGGUGCACCCAGCUUUAUUGCUUGUGCACCCAGCAUUUUUUGAAAAUGUCAAAACUGUCCCUGCACUUUCUUCGCAUUUGUGAUGGGUGUGCAUGAGGAUGAUCCGUAAAUCGUACGGAUCAAGUUGAUCCGUAUGUUGAUAUUAAGUGCAUACGGAUCAAGUUGAUCCGUAAAAGGCUUACGGAUCAAGUUGAUUCGUAAGGCUUCUACGGAUCAAGUUGAUUCGUAUGUUGAUAUUAAGCGCAUACGGAUCAACUUGAUCCGUAAAAGACUUAUGGAUCAAGUUGAUCCGUAAGGCUUCUAUGGAUCAAGUUGAUCCGUUGAUUCGUAAGGCUUUUAUGAAUCAACUUAAAAGGCUUGUAAAUCAAAGGUAUUUUAAUCUUUUUUCCUUAAGUGAUGGGUGCACCAGCAAUAUUGCUGGGUGCAGCUAGCAACACCCUUAAGUAAGGUAUUCGAUUGGGCUGGACCCAAUAACGUUUUAUCAUAAUUUAAGAUUUUAUUUAUUUUUUAUUUUAAUUAAUUAGAGAUUGUUGUUGUUAGAGUACUGUGUUUCUUAUAAAUAAAAAGGAGCUGCGAGUGAUUGUAUCGUGUGCCUCUUCCAUCAACACUGGGUUUCGGUUAUUCGAUUAUGUCAGGUUCUUUCUCUGUUACUUUCUUCAGAAAUUUUAUUUUCUUCUUCUUCUUCUUCAUGUGAAACUUAAAUAAUAUUUUGUUUCUUCUGGCAUUUUUCUUUUGGUAUAUCGAUCAUUUGAUGAGAAAAAAACUGCAACUAUAUGAAGCAGCGAUUAGAGAUGAGGAUGUUUACAUUGGUCCGUGUCUCUGAAUCAAAUCGCAGAUAAUAUAUUUUAUAAUUUUAAUUUCCUGAAUUUCUUCAUCUUUUAGUUUGGUUUUCCUUGAAUUUUUAUCGCCGUAUACGCCUUUGUUCUCUUUUCCUUGAAUCUUUAUUUUUACUUCUUGUAUAGUUGUAUUUCUUUAUAUCAAAUUAUGAAAUUUUUAUUGUUAUUAUUUCUUGAAUUUCUUGAUUUCUUAGUUGAAUUUAAGGUGGCUUUGUCUCAGUGAUAUUCUGCCUUUGUUGCAGUAUGUGUUGUUAUGUAUGUUUUAAGAAAUAUUGUUUCUUUAGGUAUUUUUCAAUAGAAAUUGAAAUCUUGUGCUAAUCUUUUUAUGUUUUGAUUUUUGUUUUUUCGGUUCUGCAGAGACCAUUUCAGAAUCAAAUUCACAUGUCAGACUUCAGAGGUUUUCAGAUCAAUAUGAAUGAAAAUUAUGGUACUUAGCAGAAUUUCUAAUUUAUUUAUAAUUCUUUUAUUUGGAAGAACUUAUAAUUUAUUUAUUUAUAAUUUAUUGAUGGGUAUGUAAAUAUGUUUGUGGUUCUGUAAAAUUUGAAAAAUAUUACUUUAGUUCUCAUAAAUAUUAUUUUAUUAAUUUAGUAUUCUUACACUAAAGCAUAUUUUGGUUAAUUCUUACUGAUAGUUACAUUAGAUAAUAACUUGAUGUAACUAACAAAUUUACACAUGUAAUUUGAUUUUAAAUGAAUUAAACAAUUUGGUUAAAAGUCUAAAAAAAUUAUAAUUUUUCAUGUCCUUCUGAGGAUUUUGUCACACAUUUUAAUGAAAUUAAGGAAAAGAUAAAGUUUGAUUCAUCUUUAAUCAAAUUUUAUACAUAUAAAUUGUUUAAUUCAUUUUUAUUAAAUUACACAUGCAAAUUUGUUAGUCACAUUAGAUUAUUAUAUAAUGUUAUUAUAUAAUGGAGUUUUCAUUUUCAUUAAGACUAGCAAAAAAUAUGUUUUAUUUUUAUAAGAAAUAAAUUAAUAUGAAAACUUUUAUGAGAAAGAAAUUAAUAUUUGCCUUAAUUGCAAAAUUCGUCCCCAUAUUUUUGCCAUGGUCCUUGAAGUAAGAUGCAUGUUAUUUUACCACUACAUCAAGUGUUCAUUUGAAUAUUUGAAGCAAAAUAUAAUAUUAAUAUAAAUUUUAUGGAAAAAUAGUUCAAAUUUUUUUUUUUUAAUUUAUUAUAUUUUUAUAAUCUUAUAUAUUAUAUUUUAAAAUAUAAUAUAUAAAAUUAAAUUCUAUUUUCACAUAAAUUAGAAUAUGUAUAUUUAUAUAAGCUUUAUUUUUAUUUUAUAUAUUAUAUUUUUAUAAUCUUAUGUGUUUUUAUCACACUAUUCAAAACUUAUUUUAUAAAGUAAAUAUAUAAUAUAAAUUUGAUCUUUAAUAUAUAUUUUUUUCAUAAAUUAUAAUUUCAUAAAAUGACAAUAUUUUAUUAUCUUUUUAAUAUUUAUAUAUGUGAUUUAAUGAUAAUAUUUUUUUAUAUUUAACUUUAUUUAAUCAGGUACUAAGUUUUUUUUAAAGAGUUAAAUUAUAAAAAAUAUUGUCACUAAAUCACAAGUAUUAUUUUAAAAGAUAAAUAUAAUAUAAAAAAUAAAAAACUUAUAUAAAUAUACAUAUUAUAAUUUAUGUAAAAAUAGAAUUUAAUCUUAUAUAAUAUAUUUUAAAAUAUAAUAUAUAAGAUUAUAAAAAUAUAAUAAAUUAUAAAAAAAAUUUGAAUUUUGAAUUGUUUUAACAUAAAAAUUAUGUUAAUACUAUAUUUGACACUAAAUAUUCAAAUGAUCACUUGAGUGUAGUAAUAAAAAAGCGUAUUUUUUUUACUUGAAGGGCCAUGCUUCUAGUAAAUUAUGUAUUUUUAAAAAUUAGGAGGACAAAUUUUGUAAUUAAAUCUUAAUAUUUUUUCAAAUUUUAUAAGUAUCUCAAACAUAUUUUAUCCUUUAUUAAUUUAUGAUAAUUCUCUUAAACAGAAUAAUUUUUAUUGAUAAUUCUGUUAAGCAGAAUUUAUGAUUUUAUUUAUUGAGAAUUUUGCUAAUUUAGCAGAAUUUAUAAGUUAUAUUUAUAUCAUUGUAAACAAAAAAAAAAAAAGUUUUUAACUCCGCCUAUGAUCUUAUAGCCGGUCCCAAGCCCGUUUAAAGGAGGAGGGUUUUUAUAUUAUUCAUGGAUCAUUGUAAUUUUUUAUGAUUAAUCAAUUGUAAGUUUUUAUGAUUAACCAUCAUAAAUCAAUCCAGAGCAAUUUCAUAUUUCAUUCAUUGCCUUGUGGAGUAGCCUAGCCACCUUUACCAUUUGGGACUGGCCAUGAGACUAAC